rnacentral:rRNA from 1 species
UACAGAGGAUGCAAGCGUUAUCCGGAAUGAUUGGGCGUAAAGCGUCUGUAGGUGGCUUUUUAAGUCCGCCGUCAAAUCCCAGGGCUCAACUCUGGACAGGCGGUGGAAACUACCAAGCUGGAGUACGGUAGGGGCAGAGGGAAUUUCCGGGUGGAGCGGUGAAAUGCGCAGAUAUCAGGAGGAACACCGAUGGCGAAGGCAGGUCUCUGGGCAUUAACUGACGCUGAGGAGCGAAAGCAUGGGGAGCGAACAGG